AUUGAACGCUGGCGGCAGGCCUAACACAUGCAAGUCGAACGGUAGCACAGAGAGCUUGCUCUCGGGUGACGAGUGGCGGACGGGUGAGUAAUGUCUGGGAAACUGCCCGAUGGAGGGGGAUAACUACUGGAAACGGUAGCUAAUACCGCAUAACGUCGCAAGACCAAAGUGGGGGACCUUCGGGCCUCACACCAUCGGAUGUGCCCAGAUGGGAUUAGCUAGUGGGUGGGGUAAUGGCUCACCUAGGCGACGAUCCCUAGCUGGUCUGAGAGGAUGACGAGGCCAACUGGAACUAGAAGACGGUCCAGACUCCUACGGGAGGCAGCGGUGGGGAAAAUUGCAAAACGGGGCAAGCCUGAUGCAGCCAUGCCGCGUGUAUGAAGAGGGCCUUCGGGUUGUAAAGUACUUUCAGCGGGGGGGAAGGCGGUGGAGUUAAUAACUUCACCGAUUGACGUUACCCGCAGAAGAAGCACCGGCUAACUCCGUGCCAGCCGCCGCCGUAA
rnacentral:rRNA from 1 species